rnacentral:misc_RNA from 1 species
GUAGGUGAACCUGCGGAAGGAUCAUUAACAAAUCUAUUCUUUAAUAAUAACCCGUUGCAAUGGCCGUGAAUUCCCAAUGUAGCCCUUCCUCUUUAGGGAAGAAGGAGCGAAAUUGGGUUGAAACGGAGAAAGGUCUGAUGUCGUCUUCCUUCCUUUUAGGAGGGGGAUGGUGGAUGACCUUUUCAUAUAAACGCGUCUACUUUAUGGUCUAACAGUUCGUAAUGGUAUUAUAACAAAUAACAACUAUUAA